rnacentral:rRNA from 1 species
AUUGAACGCUGGCGGAAUGCUUUACACAUGCAAGUCGAACGGCAGCACGGACUUCGGUCUGGUGGCGAGUGGCGAACGGGUGAGUAAUGUAUCGGAACGUGCCCAGUCGUGGGGGAUAACGUAGUGAAAAUUACGCUAAUACCGCAUACGAUCUAUGGAUGAAAGCGGGGGAUCGCAAGACCUCGCGCGCUUGGAGGGGCCGAUAUCAGAGUAGGUAGUUGGUGGGGUAAAGGCCCACCAAGCCAACGAUCUGUAGCUGGUCUGAGAGGACGACCAGCCACACUGGAACUGAGACACGGUCCAGACUCCUACGGGAGGCAGCAGUGGGGAAUUUUGGACGAUGGGCGAAAGCCUGAUCCAGCCAUUCCGCGUGCAGGAUGAAGGCCCUCGGGUUGUAAACUGCUUUUGUACAGAACGAAGAGGUUUCUACUAAUACUAGGAGCUCAUGACGGUACUGUAAGAAUAAGCACCGGCUAACUACGUGCCAGCCGCCGCCGUAA